CCUACGGGGGGCAGCAGUAGGGAAUAUUGCUCAAUGGGGGAAACCCUGAUGCAGCAACGCCGCGUGGAGGAUGAAGGUUUUCGGAUUGUAAACCCCUUUUGUUAGAGAAGAUAAUGACGGUAUCCAACGAAUAAGCACCGGCCAAAUCGGUGCCAGCAGCCGCGGUAAUAGGGGGGGUGCAAGCGUUACUCGGAAUCACGGGGGGAAAAGAGCGCGGAGGCGGGAUAGGAAGUCAGGGGUAAAAUCCUAUGGCUAAAACCUGGAACGGCUUUGGAAACGGUCAUUCUGGGGGAAGGAGGGGGUAGGGGAAAUUCUAGGGGAGGGGGGAAAUGC
rnacentral:rRNA from 1 species